rnacentral:rRNA from 1 species
GGCCGCGGGAAUUCGAUUCAGGCCUAACACAUGCAAGUCGAGCGGUAACAGGAGAAGCUUGCUUCUCGCUGACGAGCGGCGGACGGGUGAGUAAUACUUAGGAAUCUACCUAGUAGUGGGGGAUAGCUCGGGGAAACUCGAAUUAAUACCGCAUACGACCUACGGGAGAAAGGGGGCAACUUGUUGCUCUCGCUAUUAGAUGAGCCUAAGUCGGAUUAGCUAGAUGGUGGGGUAAAGGCCUACCAUGGCGACGAUCUGUAGCUGGUCUGAGAGGAUGAUCAGCCACACCGGGACUGAGACACGGCCCGGACUCCUACGGGAGGCAGCAGUGGGGAAUAUUGGACAAUGGGGGCAACCCUGAUCCAGCCAUGCCGCGUGUGUGAAGAAGGCCUUUUGGUU